UACAGAGGUCUCAAGCGUUGUUCGGAUUCAUUGGGCGUAAAGGGUGCGUAGGCGGCGCGGUAAGUCGGGUGUGAAAUCUUGGAGCUUAACUCCGAAACUGCAUUCGAUACUGCCGUGCUUGAGGACUGGAGAGGGAGACUGGAAUUUACGGUGUAGCGGUGAAAUGCGUAGAUAUCGUGAGGAAGACCAGUGGCGAAGGCGGGUCUCUGGGACGACUC
rnacentral:rRNA from 1 species